rnacentral:rRNA from 1 species
GACGAACGCUGGCGGCGUGCCUAAUACAUGCAAGUAGAACGCUGAAGAGAGGAGCUUACUCUUCUUGGAUGAGUUGCGAACGGGUGAGUAACGCGUAGGUAACCUGCCUUGUAGCGGGGGAUAACUAUUGGAAACGAUAGCUAAUACCGCAUAACAAUGGAUGACACACGUCAUUUAUUUGAAAGGGGCAAUUGCUCCACUACAAGAUGGACCUGCGUUGUAUUAGCUAGUAGGUGAGGUAAUGGUUCACCUAGGCGACGAUACAUAGCCGACCUGAGAGGGUGAUCGGCCACACUGGGACUGAGACACGGCCCAGACUCCUACGGGAGGCAGCAGUAGGGAAUCUUCGGCAAUGGGGGCAACCCUGACCGAGCAACGCCGCGUGAGUGAAGAAGGUUUUCGGAUCGUAAAGCUCUGUUGUAAGUCAAGAACGGGUGUGAGAGUGGAAAGUUCACACUGUGACGGUAGCUUACCAGAAAGGGACGGCUAACUACGUG